AUACGGAGGGUGCAAGCGUUGUCCGGAUUUAUUGGGUUUAAAGGGUGUGUAGGCGGUGUAUUAAGUCAGUGGUGAAAGCCUGCGGCUCAACCGUAGAACUGCCAUUGAUACUGACACACUUGAGUAUGGACGAGGUAGGCGGAAUUUAUGGUGUGGCGGUGAAAUGCAUAGAUACCAUAAAGAACACCGAUAGCGAAGGCAGCUUACUAGGCCAUAACUGACGCUGAGGCACGAAAGCGUGGGGAGCGAACAGGAUUAGAAACCCCGGUAGUCC
rnacentral:rRNA from 1 species